rnacentral:misc_RNA from 1 species
ACGGAAUUGAAGUUGUUUCGAUGCCAUUGCAUCUCUACAUACGAGGCGAGGAUGCACCUCUUCCUUUUGUUGGGUAUCCGGCUGUGGUAAUCAGACUGGACAGUACAUCUGCACUUGAGACAGUUUACAGAAUCAAUGUGGGAGGGGGCGAUGAUGUUUCUCCCAAAUCAGAUACGGGGAUGUUUCGCACUUGGAAACCGGAUGCUCAAUACAUAUUUGGAGCUGCUUUUGGGCAAUUGGCAUAUGAUUUUGAUCUUAAUGUUAGGUACACAC